rnacentral:rRNA from 1 species
UACGUAGGGUGCAAGCGUUGUCCGGAAUUAUUGGGCGUAAAGAGCUCGUAGGCGGCUUGUCGCGUCGGCUGUGAAAACCUGGGGCUCAACCCCGGGCCUGCAGCCGAUACGGGCAAGCUAGAAUUCGGUAGGGGAGACUGGAAUUCCUGGUGUAGCGGUGAAAUGCGCAGAUAUCAGGAGGAACACCGGUGGCGAAGGCGGGUCUCUGGGCCGACACUGACGCUGAGGCGCGAAAGCUAGGGGAGCAAACGGG